GUGUGCCUACAAGUAGUCAGAGCCCGUUAAUGGGUGAUGGCGUGCCUUUUGUAGAAUGAACCGGCGAGUUACGAUCCCGUGCAAGGUUAAGCAGAAGAUGCGGAGCCGCAGCGAAAGCGAGUCUGAAUAGGGCGCAUGAGUACGUGGUCGUAGACCCGAAACCAGGUGAUCUACCCAUGUCCAGGGUGAAGUUCAGGUAACACUGAAUGGAGGCCCGAACCCACGCACGUUGAAAAGUGCGGGGAUGAGGUGUGGGUAGGGGUGAAAUGCCAAUCGAACCUGGAGAUAGCUGGUUCUCUCCGAAAUAGCUUUAGGGCUAGCCUCAAGGUAAGAGUCUCGGAGGUAGAGCACUGAUUGGACUAGGGGCCCCUACCGGGUUACCGAAUUCAGUCAAACUCCGAAUGCCGAUGACUUAUCCUU
rnacentral:rRNA from 1 species